rnacentral:lncRNA from 1 species
GUGUCUAGGAGAGAGUAAAGAGAAGAAGAAGAGGGUCUUCUUCUAGGAUUGUUAGUUUCAUCUCUUUUCCUUCCUCCAUUUUGAAUUUUUUUGAGAGCAUCUCAAAUCUAAAACUCCUCCUCCUACUUUUCGUCUUUGGAAGAGCCCAAAUCAAGAAGAAGGAGGCACUUGAUCAACCAUCGAAGAAGGAUCAGCGCAGUACUAGCAUACUGUGCUGAUUUUCUAAAGCAAGACUUCUGAUCGAGAUUCGUGGGCUCGUGUGGAUGACUCCUAGAGACUGGACGCAUGUUCGGUUUGCAACAUCAUCCAUAAGCCCGGAUCAAUAAGGUUAGAACGUCUAACUUGCAAGGUAAUAGAUCUGAUCUAUUGUUUAAUACAUACAUUAGAUGUAGUAUAGAAACAUAUUGAAAUGAUCAACAUGUAGUUCAUGCUCUAUAUAUUUUAAUUUCUGAUUUAAUGCUAUGUAAUAAUCAUGUAAUAGGAUCUUAGAUCUAGAAAUUCUCUAAUUUUAGAAAAUAAAUUUUGAUUUAUUUUAGUCUUCCGCUGCCUGAUCUUGAAAAGGUUUCAAGAUCUAACCCUGAAACCAUAGAUCUGGUUCCUUCACAUAUCUCAAAUUCUUAACUUUUGAGAAUAUAUAUCAUCAUUUUAUAAAUUUUUUGAAUGAUUUAUUGACACAUUCAUAACAUGAAUGAAAUAAAUAAUCCAAUUUUAUUAAUAAUAAAAAAAUAUUAGAUAUAAAAUUAUAUCUUAAAAUAAAUAUAUGUGUCAGUCUAAUUGACUUCUAGGACAUAUAUCUAACACAUAUCCUUUUCUAUAUUUGAGCAAGCUCUACCCUAUUUGGUAUAGUUCUAGAUCAGCCUUGGUCUAGUAUUGGACUAGCUAGAAGUGUGGGUCUUAUAGAAGUUGGGUCUUCAAGUGACAACCCUUGCAAAAAUAAGAACACAAUCAUGUUAACCUCCCUAUGAUUGAUUUUGAUAAUUACAAAAUAUUAAGUAAUUAUGAUAUUGAUCAUGUGUUUCAAUAGUGGAUGUAGUAUUUCUAAAGUAUUCAUAAUAAAGAAAUCAUCCUUGAAAGAAAUCCUCAAGAAGUCCAGUCAAAACACUUAAAAAAAUAAGAUUUCACAAGUUUGGGCAAUUAGAAUGGACUUCUGCUGAUGAAGAGUUGACUCUAACAUACUAAAAUAGUCUGGCAUGGAUGAUGAGUCAACUCAUGAAGACGAUGAGCCGACUCUCUCAAUCAAGAUAGAAGACUAUAUUUUUAGGAUCCCUGCAAGAACUGACUCAUGGAUUUUGCAAGUUGACUCAUGGGGCAGUUUGAGUCGGCUUGUGAAAAUUAUAAGUUGACUCUUUGCACGAAGACCGUACUAAUUGCUAGUUUCUAUACUUUUCAAUGCUAGUUUUUAGGUUUAAAGACUAGUUCAACUCUUCCAAUGAUCAAAAUCUAUUCUCCAGCAACUCCAAAACCUAUCAAAAGCUAAAGAAUCAUUUGAGAAGCAAACCAAGAGGAUUAAAGAGUGAAAUACAUCAAAUUGAGUGAGGAUCAUUGAAUAUUCUUAAGAAGGAGAAAAGAGAAGAAAGUUGAGCAUAGAAGUUUGAGAGCUUUUAAGAGUGAUCAUUUCCAACAUCUUCCACAUCAUCUUGAGCUUCAAAAGAACAAAUCAUCAGCUUUUUCUCCGCACUCCAAAGAGUUUAAAUUCUAUUUUUAUUUUUGUUCUAAUAUUUAUUCUUGUAUUCUUAUUUUCUUUUCAAGUUUCUUUAGGAGAAAAAAUUUUUGGAUUAGGCUCGUCCAAGUCCAAAAUCGGAUAUUAUAGAUUUUGGUUGGUAAGCUCAUAAAACUAACUAGAUUGAUUAUGAAUCUGAAAAAUAAUCGAUGUAUAGAUUUUGAUUGGUGAUUUUAAAAAAUUAAUUGAAUUUAUUUGUAAUCUUAGAUAAAGCAAACACAUUGUAAUCAGAAAGAUUGUACUGAAAUUUUUAAAAAGAUCUUGAGGAGUAGAUGUAGAUGCGGGAUUGCACCAAACUAUUAUAAAAUUAUGUGUUUGUAUUGUGGCUUUCCUUGCUUGCUUUAUUUUACUUUGUAUUAUUGCAAGUCUUGCAUUGCCUCCUUUAUAUCUUAAUUCUGCUACUACACAUUACAUAUUCAUCGUAAACACUCAAAUUAGUUUAAUUUGAAGUAUAUAAUUAUUUUAAAUUUUAAAAUUAAUAAAAAAUUUAAAAAAUUUAAUUUAUUUUUUUUCAAUUAUUAUCUUU